UCGCCGGGAUUCAUAGAAGAGGGAGUAUAUUCGUCAACUUGAAGAGGGAGGGGAUGAGAAGUGACCUUGCUUCCUUUAAAUCUUGUCAUGAGGGUACACGAUGAAGGCUAUGCCUUUCUUCAUAUUUAUGCUGGCAAAUCUCUCGUUUUUCAUUCAAGUUCUUAGAUUUUUACGAAGAGUUUUUGUACAUGAUGCUGAGUCAUACGUUAAUAUGUACUCCCUCUGUCUCAUAAUAUAAGAGAGUUUUUGACACUACACUAAUGUCAUAAACACUCUUAUAUUAUGGAAUGGAGGGAGUAUAAGAGAGGGAUUGUGACGAGUAAUGGCAUCAGCACAUAGUUAAUUAAGUCAACAUCGGCCCAUGAACUAUGUGACAAGGGUAUGUGGAAUAUUGAAUAUCCGACCACUCAAAAAUCAAGAUGUACUAGUUUGUACCCUUGAAGAUCAAGACAUGCAAAGAGAAUAUGUGGCUUAUUUCUUUGAUCUUUGGGCACAACUGAACAGUAUAGUUGCAUUGCAUCACCUUUCAGGUGUGUACGUAUGUGGUUUGCUAGCAUUAUUGGUAUUCAACUAUUCAUGCUCAAUCCAAUCUGAAUUAUCUCCAUCUCUCUUAUAUAUUAUUGCCACUGUGUUUAUAGCUGAUUAGCCUCCUUGAUGUUUUCUUACACAUUGGUUUGCAUCGAUGUAGGACGGUCAAUGCCGGCAGUGUAUAAUAUACAAAACAGAUAGGGGGCAGCAAAAACCAUAGACAGCGGAGGGACCAUCCUGGAUGGUUUCAUGGAUGCUGGACAGUUGCAGAUAAGUAUCCUUUUAUUCUAUGGUAUACACGAUAGCCAGCCAGGAGAUCAUGAGAUCAAACCAGAUACUCUUGGCUGUGUGAAUUCGUUGGCGGAAAGUAGCUUGAUUUAUCCAGAUUUAAUUCCCAAUAGACAAAAAAAAGAAAGAAAGAAAAUGGACUAAAAACAUAAAAUUAUAGGGCCUCGUUUGAGAUACUAGCUAGAGUAUUGCCAUACUAUGAACAGUGCUAGGUUUAAUUCCGUUUUGGGUGGGAUAUUUGUACUAUGUACGACUGCCAAAAGAAUAUAAUAUUAUCGACAAUUAAGUAAAUAUGCGUACUGUGGUGUCAACUGUUGCUGAUUGGAACUACUACUUGGCAGCAGCAGCAUGGGUACUACUCCCGGUACUACUUAAAACCAUGGGAGGGCUCAGCACUGGAGGUACGACCACCUAUCCCAUCCAUCUCCUCUGCUCCAAAACCAGACGCCAAGAGCCCUUUCUCUCACCACCUCUCCUUUCAAUUCCAGUACGGCGGUCGCUCACCGGAUCCAAGAAGAAAAAAUCUCUCCCAUUUCCUGUUGCGUCCGGAGGUUUUGUUUGGGUUUCCUUUCGGAUUUUUGGGUUGUUUGCUGCUUUUGUGUCGGAAGUUGUUCUUCGGUUGUGCAAUCUGUGAAGUAAUGUUAGCUCCUGGUGUGGGGAGGCCCUCGAGAGAUUGACAGAAGAGAGUGAGCACAUGGCGUGAUGCCGGCAUAACAUGUAUGCCGUCUUCGCCGCGUGCUCACUCCUCUUUCUGUCAGCCUCUUUCUCUCAGGAGUUUACGUUACAUUCAGAUCCACUGGUGGGUAUGUAGAACUAAUUUGAUUCAAUUUCAAUUCAAUAGUUCAUAAUUUUCCACACAAAAAAGAAGGUUAACCCCUGCUUAUGAGAGGAACUCAGCCACAAAAGAAAGACAGAACACGCAUGCGGCAUGUACUCUGGCUGUUCUCCGACUUUACCAUGCCACUUCCUUAUCUCUUUAGAUGUGUGCGCACGCAAAAAAAUAAAAUAAAAUAAAUUGCUCUGUUGUUUUGAUCUUUUCAGUCAAGUUGCUCCUGGGAACUACUACCGAGGAGAGUGAUACGGAUGCUAGUGGUAAUUGUAAGGAGUGGCAGCUGUAGGCUUGUAGUACUGGAAUAAAUGAUUGGAUUUGUUACUUGUUUUUUUCAUCCCCAAAUUGUUUUAUCUUCUCCCUUUGCAGUUGUACUCGCCUUGGGAGCUGAAUCAUGGAGAUGCUGCCGGUACACUGCAACAUGCACCAGCUCUCUCUCUCUCUN
rnacentral:lncRNA from 1 species